UUCCUGUUCUUUUCUCUCCUUCUGGAUCCUUCUCUUUCUUUGGGCCUCCUUUCCCAGCCCUUUAGCUGUCCCUAGAUGAAGCUCGCACGGUUUCUUAACGUUCUCUUCCUGAGUGCUCCGUCUUUUUCUUACUUUUCCGUUCUCCUAGGGGCCCCCGUCUGGCGGGUUUGGGUCCGGCUCCCCCGCCGCCACCGUGAUUUAUUCGCCUCACUCGACGGAAUCAGCGAUUUCCUUUUCGUCGUGGAAGCAGAUUAACAUGCAAACGGGGAGGCGAUCGGCUCGAAGCUGUCCCUCCAAACUGUCCCGGCCGCCGGACAGCGGAAAACUACAGCCCCGGCACCCCCACGCCUGCUUGAGCAGGGGCCGUGACCCAGCCAGUACCCGCAGAGAAGAUGGAAAAAGCCCAGCGCCGGUGCUGGAGCGAAGUUAGAGGCACGGACACUGAUUGCGCCUUAUGAAGUUCUAACUGGUUUUGUGUCAGGAAGAUCUUUCUCGCUGCUACCCAGCCUGGCGUGACGGAUUAAACAUCAACUAGUUAAAUAAAAAUUAAUAUCA